ensembl:lncRNA
AGUCACAUGACUUACUGUCCAGGGAGGGGAUAGGUAGACCUAUAGUCACAUGACUUACUGUCCAGGGAGGGGAAAGGUAGACCUAUAGUCACAUGACUUACUGUCCAGGGAGGGGAUAGGUAGACCUAUAGUCACAUGACUUACUGCCCAGGGAGGGGAUAGGUAGACCUAUAGUCACAUGACUUACUGCCCAGGGAGGGGAAAGGUAGACCUAUAGUCACAUGACUUACUCUCCAGGGAGGGGAAAGGUAGGCCUAUAGUCACAUGACUUACUGUCCAGGGAGGGGAUAGGUAGACCUAUAGUCACAUGACUUACAAGAUGAUUUCCAAUAGGUGCAGGGU